GACGAACGCUGGCGGCGUGCUUAACACAUGCAAGUCGAACGGAAAGGCCCUGCUUUUGUGGGUUGCUCGAGUGGCGAACGGGUGAGUAACACGUGAGUAACCUGCCCUUGACUUUGGGAUAACUUCAGGAAACUGGGGCUAAUACCGGAUAGGAGCUCCUGCUGCAUGGUGGGGGUUGGAAAGUUUCGGCGGUUUGGGAUGGACUCGCGGCUUAUCAGCUUGUUGGUGAGGUAGUGGCUUACCAAGGGUUUGACGGAUAGCCGGCCUGGGAGGGUGACCGGCCACAAUGGGACUGAGAUACGGAGCAGACGCCUACGGGAGGCAGCAGGGGGGAAUAUGGCACAAUGGGCGGGAGCCUGAGGCAGCAACGUCGGGAGCGUGAUGACGUGCUUCGGGUGGUAAACCGAUUUCGCCUUAGACAAAGCGGGAGUGACGGUAAUGGGUAAAGAAGCACCGGCUAACUACGUG
rnacentral:rRNA from 1 species